UACAGAGGUCUCAAGCGUUGUUCGGAUUCAUUGGGCGUAAAGGGUGCGUAGGUGGCGUGGUAAGUCUGGUGUGAAAUCCCGGGGCUCAACUCCGGAACUGCACUGGAUACUGCCAUGCUUGAGUACUGGAGAGGAGAUUGGAAUUUACGGUGUAGCAGUGAAAUGCGUAGAUAUCGUAAGGAAGACCAGUGGCGAAGGCGAAUCUCUGGACAGUUACUGACACUGAGGCACGAAGGCCAGGGGAGCAAACGGG
rnacentral:rRNA from 1 species